rnacentral:rRNA from 1 species
AAUGAACGCUGGCGGCAGGCCUAACACAUGCAAGUCGAACGGGUCCUUCGGGACUAGUGGCGGACGGGUGAGUAACGCGUGGGAACGUGCCCUUUGCUACGGAAUAGCCUCUGGAAACGGAGAGUAAUACCGUAUGUGCCCUUUGGGGGAAAGAUUUAUCGGCAAAGGAUCGGCCCGCGUUGGAUUAGGUAGUUGGUGGGGUAAUGGCCUACCAAGCCGACGAUCCAUAGCUGGUUUGAGAGGAUGAUCAGCCACACUGGGACUGAGACACGGCCCAGACUCCUACGGGAGGCAGCAGUGGGGAAUCUUAGACAAUGGGGGAAACCCUGAUCUAGCCAUGCCGCGUGAUCGAUGAAGGCCUUAGGGUUGUAAAGAUCUUUCAGGUGGGAAGAUAAUGACGGUACCACCAGAAGAAGCCCCGGCUAACUCCGUGCCAGCCGCCGCCGUAA